rnacentral:rRNA from 1 species
UUGACGGGGCCCGCACAAGCGGUGGAGCAUGUGGUUAAUUCGAAGCAACGCGAAGAACCUUACCAGGCCUUGACAUGCUAGGGAACCCGGGUGAAAGCCUGGGUGCCCCGCGAGGGGAGCCCUAGCACAGGUGCUGCAUGGCCGUCGUCAGCUCGUGCCGUGAGGUGUUGGGUUAAGUCCCGCAACGAGCGCAACCCCCGCCGUUAGUUGCCAGCGGUUCGGCCGGGCACUCUAGAGGGACUGCCGGCGACAAGUCGGAGGAAGGUGGGGAUGACGUCAAAUCAUCAUACCCCUUAUGACCUGGGCUACACACGUGCUACAAUGGGCGGUACAAAGGGCUGCGAACCCGCGAGGGGGAGCGAAUCCCAAAAAGCCGCUCUCAGUUCGGAUUGCAGGCUGCAACUCGCCUGCAUGAAGCCGGAAUCGCUGGUAAUCGCGGAUCAGCAUGCCGCGGUGAAUACGUUCCCGGGCCUU